rnacentral:lncRNA from 1 species
AGAAAUUUUGGAGUUAUGUGUAAAUAAUUUUUGUAACGUAAAAACAAAAUAAAUUCAUUCAUACUGUAAUGCAAUAAACUAGAGUAUUUAAAUUAAUUUAAAUUUACAAUAUCAAGUGGGCCCACAAUAACCAAAAUUAAAGAAGUUGUGAACCUACAGUUCGGAGGACGCAAGUCCAACGGAAGCCCUCGAUGGAAUCAGUUAUCUACAACCUACUCUAAGCCUGAAAUGGGUGGAAAAGAGGGUGGUGAGAUUAUAAAAUCCCAAUGAGUAAACAAAUACCAUUUAAAUAAGCUAAAGCCGAGUAAAAGAAGACAAUUAAAAUAUCCCAUCAUUUUAAGUAUUUCCCAAUUUGAAAAUUUAUCCCAACCCAUGCAAACGGUUGUAUUUCAUUUAAUUUCUCAUUAAGGCUUAUGGCUUUCAUAAACAUUUGCCUCAUGCCAACAAAUAGUACUUGAUGACACCUUGAUCAGAGGCAUGCACUCGAGCCCGCCAAGGUUGUUAAAAUUUCAUAUACACGUAAAACAUAUUUUUAGUUUGAGAAAAAUACAAUCGUUCCUUGGCGUUAGCGGAGUUCAUAGUCACAAGGUGGUUUGGCGUGACGUGGACUCUAACCAUACCUCAGGAGAUACCCUACACGCCUCUCCGAUCGAGGUACAUAUUUAUAUCU